rnacentral:rRNA from 1 species
GAUGAACGCUGGCGGCGUGCCUAAUACAUGCAAGUCGAGCGAACGGACGAGAAGCUUGUUGUUCUGAUGGUAGCGGCGGGCGGGUGAGUAAGAAGGGGAUCACCCAUCUAUAAUACCGGGAUAACUUCGGAAAACGGGAGCUAAUACCGGAUAAUACUUUGAACCGCAGAGUUCAAAAGUGAAAGACGGUCUUGCGGUGACUAAUAGACGUAUCCGCGCUGCAUUAGCUAGUUGGUAAGGUAACGGCUUACCAAGGCAACGAUGCAUAGCCGACCUGAUAGGGUGAUAGGCCGAACUGGAACUGAGAAACGGUCACGAGUUCUACAGGAGGCCGCGGUGCAGAAUCAUGCACAAUGGCCGAAAGGGUGACAGAGCAACGCAGCGUCGGUGAGGAAGGUACUCGGAUCGUAUGACUGUAUUCUUAGGGAAGAAGAGAUAUAUAAGCAAAUCUGCGGGACAUGACGGUACCUAAACAGAAAGCCACGGCUAACUACGUG